rnacentral:rRNA from 1 species
GCAGUCGCCGCGGUAAUACAGAGGGUGCGAGCGUUAAUCGGAUUUACUGGGCGUAAAGCGUGCGUAGGCGGCUUCUUAAGUCGGAUGUGAAAUCCCUGAGCUUAACUUAGGAAUUGCAUUCGAUACUGGGAAGCUAGAGUAUGGGAGAGGAUGGUAGAAUUCCAGGUGUAGCGGUGAAAUGCGUAGAGAUCUGGAGGAAUACCGGUGGCGGAGGCGGCCCCCUGGACGAAGACUGACGCUCAGGUACGAAAGCGUGGGGAGCAAACAGGAUUAGAUACCCGGGUAGUCCCUGUCUCUUAUAC